rnacentral:misc_RNA from 1 species
CGUAGGUGAACCUGCGGAAGGAUCAUUACUGAGUGAGGGCCCCUCGGGGUCCAACCUCCCACCCGUGUUUAACGAACCUUGUUGCUUCGGCGGGCCCGCCUCACGGCCGCCGGGGGGCAUCUGCCCCCGGGCCCGCGCCCGCCGAAGCCACCUGUGAACGCUGUCUGAAGUAUGCAGUCUGAGACAAUUAUUAAAUUAAUUAAAACUUUCAACAACGGAUCUCUUGGUUCCG